AGUUGGCCCAAAGGCAGUGAGUUAUCUCGAUUGAUUGCUCACAGUCAGUUACAGAUUUAAGUCCUUGUUUUCUACUCGUUCCCCUCUUCUCACCGCUGCACUUGACUAAUCUUAA
rnacentral:Y_RNA from 1 species